UACGAAGGGUGCAAGCGUUACUCGGAAUUACUGGGCGUAAAGCGUGCGUAGGUGGUUCGUUAAGUCUGAUGUGAAAGCCCUGGGCUCAACCUGGGAAUGGCAUUGGAUACUGGCGGGCUAGAGUGCGGUAGAGGGCAGUGGAAUUCCCGGUGUAGCAGUGAAAUGCGUAGAGAUCGGGAGGAACAUCUGUGGCGAAGGCGACUGCCUGGACCAGCACUGACACUGAGGCACGAAAGCGUGGGGAGCAAAAGGG
rnacentral:rRNA from 1 species